UACGGAGGGUGCAAGCAUUAAUCGGAUUUAUUGGGCGUAAAGGGCGCGUAGGCGGAAAGAAAAGUCAGAUGUGAAAUCCCGGGGCUUAACCUCGGACCCGCAUUUGAAACUUUCUUUCUAGAGGGUAGGCGGAGAAAACGGAAUUCCACGUGUAGCGGUGAAAUGCGUAGAUAUGUGGAAGAACAUCUGUGGCGAAGGCGGUUUUCUAGCUUACUCCUGACGCUGAGGCGCGAAAGCAAGGGGAUCAAACAGG
rnacentral:rRNA from 1 species